UUCAGUUUCUUUUGUGCAACUCUGAGAAUUUAUGAAGACUUGGAAAGUCUCCUUGAAAACAAUGAAUGCUGUUCAACUGUGAGAGGUUCAUGCAUCACCCAUGGGUUUUAGGAUUAAGGGUUAACAUGUGGGAGACAUAGAUAAGUGAGUGUAUAGAUAUGCUGGCAUAGCUCUCUCUCUCUCUCUCUCUCUCUCUCUCUCUCUCUCUCUCUCUCUCUCUCUCUCUCUCCCUCCCUGCACCUAGAAGAGGAGAGGCCCCAUUUUCCACUCAAGAGAGGGUCCCACUUUCUUACCAACAGUCUAACUGUUGUUCCUCAAAACUUGCAAUGAAUGUUUUCUGUCUUGGCAGUGUUUUUAUGGGGUGCAGGUAGGGGAAGGCAGAAAAAGGAACAUUCUAGCUGGCAAGAAAAAUGCUCCAUUUGGGGUUAGGAAUUUAGGAUCAUGUAGUUCCUGGUUCAUCGGUUUUAGUUAUGUAAACUUGGCAUUUGUUACCCUUUGUAAUUGUCAUCUUGGAGGCUUCCUGCCUUUAUCCGUUAACGUACACCUAGUCCUGGAAGCUUGUAGUGUCCGUACAAUCUAAUAUAUGCAGAGAAUUCUUUCAGUUUCUGAAACUCACUGCUGAAUAAGCUCACCCCUUCCUAGUUCUUUCUGAUCUCUGGCUGGCUGGUUCAACUCAACUGUUUUGGCUCAAACUUCUUUCCAAGUUGACUGAUUCAAUCUGGAGUCUCUUGGGGUUCUCUUGAAUUGUCUGCUUGGCCUCACACUAACUUCAUGUGCUUUAAUCUUCUGGCUCCUUCUCCUUCUCUGCCUUGUCUGUCUUCACCUGUGUCUAGCUUGUUCUCUCUCUACAACCUGUCUCUGUACACCUGUCCCAGCCUCUCUCUCCUUUCUGCACUCUCUCUUAAGUCACCCCUCCUUCCUCUCUGUUGAGCUCGACAUGUCUUAUUCUGCUAAAUCUUUCUCUGAUUCAUCACUUUUUCUGCUACUCAAUUAGACAUCGCUUUCAAACGUGGGUGCCUCUUUCUACAAACUAACUUUACCUUUGUUGUUUGGGAUUGAAGGUGUGUGCUAAGGGUGUGUCUGUAUUCCAGCCAGAGGGAUUAAAAAAUGUGUUCUAAGGCCGAGUCAUACCACAAUUAGAAUCAGGUUUUUCUAGGAAACAAUACAAUCUUAGGUUUCACAGUAUGAUCCAAUAUCCUGCAACAAACCUUUCCAGGUUCCACAUGUCUUAAUCUCUAAAGUCAAAAUGGUGGUACCUGAAUUCGGGGAAUGUAGCUCAUUGUAGAUGGGGCAUGAACAAAACCCUGGGUUCUGUCCCCAACACCACAGAAGAGAAGAUGGGAAAAUGUUGUAUCUGCUACACCUACCUCAUGGCCAGGGAGGGGGACCUUAUGCUGGGAUGGAAAAGAGGUAGUGUUACAAAAUAAUGAUGAUUUUUCGCAAGCCACAAUGGUCUUGAACUACAAGGCAUUGCCAUUACUGUAACUCUCUGCUACACAGAUAUUUUAGGGACUGACUAAUGUGAUUAAGUGCAGGCCUCCACUUAUUCGCAGAGCAUCAGGUGGUUCCUGGGAGGCGGGAGGGCAACUGUUGUCAGAGCAAAACAAUCCCUCAGCGCUAAUCUCUGACCUCAGUUUCGGAGACGAAUCCAGCAUCAGAAACCUCUUCGAAAAUCUUCAAUGUAUUGGCAAGAGCCAAAUUUAUAAAUUCAGAGAUAGUGGUUAAAAAAAAUCAACAACCUAUAAGCCAGAAGUUUAUCUGUUUUAUUUUCUAGAAGGAGGCACCCAUGUUUGAAAGUGAUGGCUUUAUUUGCUUUACUGAUUAAAAACAGCCCAGGAGGUCACAUACCUACCAGAAUCUAACCCCCACCCCAGCCUCUCUUUCUUGGUUUCUUGCACUUCCAUUGAGAAGUGGCCGGGGCUUCGGUGGCAGCCUGGCAGGACGGACGGUGGUAGGUGUGGGCGUCAGGGAACUGCUGUUGGGAGCCGAAGUGCUGGGUUUGCGUUCCGGCUCCUGGUUUCACUUAAGUGACUCUGUGACCGUGGGCUGUGUUCUCAAUUAGUGCCACAGAUUCUUCCUGAGGAAGGCAGCUCUGAGCAGGAGCUCCUGGUAAAUCUGAAGGACUCGGCCGGAGAAGUGCUGAACUGUGGAUGUGUCAAACCUGGUCGCUGAGCUGAAAUCCCUUUUCCUGCUGGGACUAUGUGUCUACACUACACACAUGGCAGAGCUGGGUGUCUCUGGAUAUCGGUUGAAGUCCUAAAGCCGAGGACAGUAGACAGGUUUCUCACCGAACUUGGAGCUCAUCAAUUCAGCUAAAUUGGUUGGCCAGCAAGUCCUGGGAUCUGCCUAUCUCUGCCUCUACCCCAGCUAGAGCCCUCAUAGGUCCCUGGGAUUCAACGUGGAUCCUCAGGUGUAUGUUUGUUUUGGCUCAGCUCUGAGCUCUCUGGGAACUCAAAGUCCUGACUAACGGCAUUGUUGGACCUGGGUGCCUCUGAGGAAGAUCUGUCUGAGAAAGAAGAGAUAGAGCUGAGAUGUUAAAUGUUUCCAACAAAAGCUAUCAGGGCAGAAUGUCCUGACUCAGCACUUCCCGGCAUUUUUUGAGGUUUUGUCCACAGACAAUGUACAGUUACUCCUUUUUGAGCAUGUGGUUUUCUUUAUUUAGUUUUUCCUCCCUUAAGCUUAUGGGUUUUCAUUGACGAGAUGGUUGUGCAAGUCUGAGGUGCAGGCACUGCCCGGAAGCUGGUUUACUCGCACGGAUGCCACACUUGUUAAGAGAAUGAGCAAGCAGAGGGAGACCAACUGUACCAUCACGAGAACAAGGUGUCUCCUCAUCGCCCAGGGAAGAUGUAGCUGGUUUAUGGAAGAAGAAUCCCAUGGGUGGACAAACACUUGAAGCUCACCAACAGGACCCGACACUCACCACCGAGGGGUUAGAAAGGACUGCCCAUGGCCUCUGACAUAAGGAGGCUUUUUUUGUCUAGAGGACCUCAUCUGCCAAAGUGGGCUGGGAGAGGCCACCUGAGACUAACAGUGGCUUGCCAGGUGUUAAAGAAGCACUAGAACCUGAUCCUCGCUUGCAGUCCCGUUUGUGGGGCUCCCCUGCUUCCAGCACUCCUCUGCUUCCGAGAGUUCCCUUUCUCUCCUUUCAUUUUCUGUAAGGUCAAAGAUAAAGACCUGGCUUCAGGGUCCCACCACAGACAAGCUGUGCAACCGUUCAUGAGAUUUCAAGCUUGCUUGGACUCAGCUCCUUCAUUUUUGUAAACCAGAAAAGUAAGACCUGCUUUUAAAUGCUUCUGGCCUCAGAUCUAAAUGGAAGCCAGAACAGCCCGUCUCUCAUAACAGAGAGUGAUUGGUCAACGUCAGCCACGUUCGUGCUGGUGAUUUGACUCUGGUAUGGGCAUCUGGGGCCAAUGGUGGCUCUUGGUAGCUGGUCUUGAAAUUCAUUUUGGGAAAGGUACUGCCCACUUUCUUAGAGUGUUGGGGGUGGCGCUGAGCUCUGAGAAGCUGGACCUGAAGAAGAGUCUAGCCAAGAGAUCUCGGAUUUCUCCAGAGUUCAUGGGCGGAGCAGAGCCUGAACAUUCAUGCUGUGACAAGAGGCACAAUGGCUGCUUGGGCCCACAUUACCUCUUGUCUUCCACCACUGGCCUGAGCCAAUACAAUCAACCGCUCCACUCUCUCCCACUUGGUAACCUGAAAACUUCUGAGGAUCUAUGAUAACCACUUUGUCAUUACUGAGGAGAAAAUGAACAAAAAAGACAGCCACUGGCAUAGGGAAGGGUCAGGCAAGGGCAAGUCUCCAAAAUUUGGCAGAAAGGGUUGGGGUCUGAAAAACAAAUGUAACUAAGCAAGGAGUCUGUCCUUCUUCCUUCUACUCCCCAUGCCCUCUCUGGACUCCUAUUCCAAGAUCUUUAAUUUUGAAAUUUUAAACAAGAAAGUGUAUUAAUCUUCAAGAGCUCUCAUUAAUCACCAUGCCUGGCCCAGUGGUGAGGGAGAAAGAGAGAGAUGACUCACUUCUACAGUUGAUUUCUUGGUAAUGGAGGGUCAGGGCCUGCCCUUACAUUACCCCUUUGUCGAACUAAUGGAGAAAACUCUCACUUAGGAAGCACCCAUUCUGGAGCAAUUUUUCAGUGGAAGAUUGCAGACAGUAAUAGCCACCGACAAGAAAAGAUUUCCCUUAGGGAAACGAGAGUGAGUGGCUUGGCAGAAUCAUGAGAAACACAGACCUUGCCCUGGAGAGUUGUGGGGUUCGAUGGCAGGGUUGAGUAAGGCAUAAGCUUCAGUAUGUGGCAUAUGAAGUGCAUCUUCAACAAACAGUGAACCUUUACCACAUCCCUUCUUGGUGCCAGGCACUGUGAGGGCCUUCUUUCUGUCAUCGUUUGAUCAGUAUGUGACAGGUGGCAUCACGUCCCCUGGUUUACUGAUACGAAUUCUGACAUGCAUGCCAAGCGACUUGUUAAAUACGACUUUUCUCAUUGCUGUAAUAAAAUACCCAACAAAGAAAGCAACUUAAGGCAGGCAUGGCUUAUCUUGGCUUACCGUUUGAGGGGCUACAGUCUUCACAGCGGAGGGUGCAGGAGUCAGCUGGCUCUAUUACAUUUAGUGAGGAAGAAGAGAGAAAUGCAUGUUGGGAUUCCACUCGCUUUCUACUUUUUCUUCAGUCUGGGAUCCCAGAUCACGGGAUGUUGCUGCUCACAUGCAGGGGGAUCCUCUUCAGGUAAAUCUCUACGGAACGAACACCCUCACAGACACACCCAGAGAGGCAUCUUCUAGGUGCAUCUCCAUAUCUAGUCAAGCUGACGAUGGAGUCCGACGGUCAAGGUUGCCUAAGGCCUCACAGCUGCGUGCAGCUCCGUGGGAAGGGCUGUGCUGAAAGCAGAAACAGUGGAGGAAAAUCCACAGAACUCGUAGUUCCUGUGUGGAGAUGAACGUCUUUCAAGGUGAAGAGUUUGCAUUUAAAACAUAAAACCACAAUAAAGUAGGAGGAGAAACUGGUCCUUGACAGGAACGUGCCAGUCAAGUCUGCAUGCUAAGACAUAGAGAAGAAAAAGAAGAGGAGGAAGAAGAAUCAAAUAUUUAGGAAUGAUUGAGCAGGGAUAUUGAAUAAACUUAACCCAUUACUAUGCAGAACAUAAUGCAGGCAUCUUAAUCUGGGAUCCUGUCCAAGGCGAUCCAUGAUUGGAUGAAGUGGGAGAUUCUCGUUCAGAGAGUUUCACCCAAAAUGUGAUGUCUGAUCGUAGACUCAGCAUUAUGGGGCAGCUCCAGUGUGCUUUUCGGUAAAGGGUAGAGGGCUCUCGUUUCAUCCUUUGUUGGCUUUGAGUCAUGAGUAGCCUGGAUGGCUCUCCUUUACAAAAAUAAUUGUUUUGUUUGGCUCGAACCCACAGAGGCACUCAGCUCCACGACGGGACAAAGACAUUUUAAAAAGUGAGAGUCCUUAGUAUGCAGUUGACUGUCUCGUUGUUAGAAUCCGACUGGAUCAAUAUUUAAUUUUAGUUGUGGAAGGUAAGGCCAAGCAGUCAGAAUUGCCCUCAGAUUUCUUUGCAUAACAAAAAGAUCUCUCUUGAUUUAUUUACAGCUUAAUUCAGGAAACAGAACAGGAGAGAGAGAGAGAGAGAGAGAGAGAGAGAGAGAGAGAGAGAGAGAGAGAGAGUCUAGACAAGGUGUUGGGCAGGGUGUUCCUCUGGUAACUACAUACAGUUAGUGAGUAGAUGGAUAAUCCUAGUUCGUGAAUCUUCUUCAUGGUCAGAACCAGUAUGUCAGCACAGUUUAGAAAUUCCUUCCUUCCCACCAAAGACCGUUUUACUGUAGGAAAAAGAGAUUCCAAUAUCAAAAGCAAUCUUUUGACUGUACUAGAUGCAUUCUUGAAGCUGCUGGAAACUUCUAUAGAAAAUUUAAAAUUCUACACAUAGGAAACUUACGAUUUAUAAGCUAUGAAAAGUGAAGUUGGUUGUUGCAACUGAAGAGCAUUGACUUUGGCUGGUCCAUGAGUUGCUUGGGGAAUUGCCUAAAAAACUGUUUCUGCAUAUUUGAUGAUUGCAUUGGGUUUUGGUCACAGGCAGAGUCCACUGGGAUCACCAGUUUCGGGGUUCCUUCUUCUUUACUUCACUGUCUUCUGAGCUGAGACAGUUUCUCACAGCAGAGGAGAGGAAAACUGUCACACCCAACUCAGGCUUGCUGGGAGCUACUUCAUUCCAUCCUUCUUUAUUUCGAGGUGCUGUAUGCAAGAUCUAGGGCCAAGUUCACACUGCUGUGAGCAGAAUGAGUUGAGUUAAGGAGAACUUUGCUGAGGACCUGACUCUAAGCUAUAAAUAAUGUGCAAACCAUAGAUUCUACCUAGAUCAACUAUAGGUUGGAUCUGGUUGUCUCUCAAAGCCCUACAAGUUGUAGACUGGCUACCAGUCUGUGAACUACUGGGUGGAGGUAGAACCUUAAGAGGUGGGCAGGCUCUUGCAAAGGAACUAAAUUACUGGGGAUCUGUUCUUGGAGGGAACAUUAAGUGCUUGGAUUCUUGUCUUUCUCUCUCUGCUUUUCCUCAGCGGAAACGCAAGCAGCUUUUGUUCUUCCGUGUGCUCCCAUCAUGGUCUUCUGCUUUGCCACAGGCCCUAAAACAGUGAAGUCAGAAGACCAUGGAGGAAAAUCUCUGAAACAAUGAUCAAAAGAAAUCCUUUUUCAUCCUCUGAGAUGUUUAUCUCAGAGGUCUUGGCACGGCAGAGAAAAGCCAGCAAGCACAAACUCUGUGAAAGCGCCAUAUGCAAUAGAUCAUUAUAUAAUGUGGAUAACAGGCCUUUUACCACACUGUGACCUCAAACUUUUGUUUUGUCUCCUGAGCUCUGCAACUGACUUUUCCUCUGACUCAUCUUCAUGUUCUUGUAUUAUCAGAACCUGGGAUAUUUGGUAAUCAAUCAUCUCAGGUGAUGAUUAUGAAUAAUGUGUGGCCAUUGAUGAUAUCAGAAAUGGAUACCAGUGGUGGUGGUGGGGUGUCUGUGAGUGCAUGCACAGUUCAAUAUUUAGUCCAUCUUGCUUCCUAGCUGUAGGGUUUCUCUUUCCAUUGCAGAGGAAUGAAUGCAUUAGAGCCAAACAGCUAGAUCCCUUUCAAACAAGAGUCCCCGGCUUGGAAGCCAAAGAGACCAUAUGCUUUUUAGCCUACUUUCCUGAAGAACUGUCAGACACUUAUCACAUUUUAGGUUCAUGUUCAGUACCAGAGCAACAUAAAUGAUAUGAAUAGAUAGAAGACAUCGAUCUCAGACAUGCAUUAUUCUCAAUAAAUUCUCAGUAAAAAAAAAAAAAAGAAAGAAAGAAAAAAGAAAAAAAGAACCAAAAGAAAAAAAAACUUCAAGAAGGCUUGGGAGAUGGUUUAGUGAUUAAGAGUGUGAACUGCUCUUGCAGACAUAGUUCCAGAGGAUCUGAUGGCUUCUGGCCUCUGGGGCACUUGUAUGCACAAGUGCAAAACCAUACAUUGACGUACAUGCAUACACAUAAUUAAAAACUAAAGAGAAACCUCAAAAAAUAAAAAAAAAACAUUGAGAGUAGCAAAAUAAAUGAAAUACUUGAAUGGUAAUUCAAGACAGAAAAAUGUGCCAAUACAUGUCUAUACUAUACAAAUACAUUAUUUAAAAAGUCAACAGAAGGGGUUGGGGAUUUAGCUCAGUGGUAGAGCGAUUGCCUAGCAAGCGCAAGGCCCUGGGUUCGGUCCUCAGCUCCAAAAAAAAAAAAAAAAAAAAGAAAAAGAAAAAGUCAACAGAAGCUAGGCAGUGGUGGUGCAUGCCUUUAAUCCCAGCACUAGGGGGAGAGAGGCACGUGAACCUCUGUGAGUUCAAGGCUAGCCUGGUCUACAUAGUGAGUUCUAGGACAGUCAGUCUACACAAAGAAACCCUGUCUUGAAAAAAAAUCAGUGGAGAGUUGGUGACAUAGCGCAGCCAAUAAAGUGCUUGCCAUGUUCAAACAAGGGAACCAGAGCUCAAAGUCCAGAGCCUAGUUAAUAAAAGCUGGGCAUGGUGGUGUGUACUUCUAAUUCCAGGCCUGGGGAGGUAGUGGUAAGCUGAUCCCUGGGGCUCCCUAGCCAGUCAGCCUAGCUUACUGGUAAAAUCCCAGGUCAAUGAGAGACUGCAUCUCAAAAAUACAACGUACCUGGGGAACGACAGCCACCGUGUCCUCUGACUUCUACAUGCACACGAACGUAUGUGUACUUCCCACGCGUGCACCUGUACACAGACGAGCAUCAGAGUAGAACAGAUAAAUUAUUGAACCUAUAGUGCUGGGGCAAUUUUCAACUGGAAAAAAUGUUUCCUUACAUCAUAUACAAAAAAUAAACACAAGAAAGAAAAGUCAAAACAGUGAGAACAAAAUGUAGAUUCUUCCACAACAUUAUUUAGACUUUCUUCUACCCCAGGAAUGGGAAGGCUCUCUUUGAAGUAGCAAAAAUUAUAUGCUGUUUGAAAAAAAAAGAUUUGGACAUUUGACUCACUGAGUAAACCACCUCCAUAUGGCCACACGUGUGAAGAAGAAAACGCAUAUUAGAUCUUAUAGACUACUAAACAAUGAGAAAAGAGCCGAGAAAAGCAAUUCAAAAUUCAAACAAGAAACUCUAAGUGGCAAAUGUACAUGAUUUUAAAUUAUCUACCUGGUGUUUAACGUGUCAUCUCAGGCCACAGGGCGAAUUUAAAGACGUGCAAGCCAUGUGCAGAACAGCCAAAAGAAAGAUGCCUCUCUUCUGGUUCCUUGGUGACAGGUUGCCAUGACAACCUUAACACAUCUUUUGAAUGGAAAAAAAAAUUGUUAGUACGACUUGAAGUUCUAUUGGUUGAGCUAAUACUUUAUGGAACUGAACUCAAUCCUCGCUUUAUUUUUUUGUUACUGUAAAGACACUUUCUCUCCCUGUGUGUUUUAAAUAGGUCAGCUAUUAAAGAUGAAAUCAUGCUGAUGCCAUCCGUUCCCCCACCCCCUUGAGAUGAACAGAAGCUCCCUUUUACUUCUGUGCCGUCUUGACCAUGUGAAUUCUAUGGAAACGCCUCCAAGCUUUGCCGUAUAGCAUAUGCACAGUCCUGGCCUAUCUUUGCCUCCCCUGGUGAUUUUUAUGUCCUGCUGGUGAGCGCUGGGAAGCCCUCUCCUUGACUUUGGUAAGGCCAGCACUGUACUUUCAGUCUGUGACCAAAAAAGAAGACAAAAUAAAUGCUUUUCCUGUCACUGGAGAGAGAAGGGGCUGAUGACAGAUUUGCUCUCUUUGCAAGAUCUUCCACUUCUACAACCUGCAGCUUUCGGCGGUCUGAUGCUGGAAAGUAUAAUGUCUGCUCUGCAGGGAAACCAUUAUACCAGGUACUAAUGAGGAUCUGAUCAAUACCAACCAGUAAACACAACCUCACUCAAACUCUGGCCAUAUGGAGGGGUAGAUUAUCAUUUUUUAAUGUCUCAGGGAGGAGACAGAGAACCACAAGAUGCUCCCCGGCUUGUAGUAAAGAGAGGACAUAAAGGGACUCAGGAGCCCUUUAGAGUAUGCAAGAUCUCAGAUGAGAAAUUAUCUGGAACUUAAUGUAAUAGCUCCAGCAGUCUCACUGACAAUACAGAUGCUUUGUUAAAGAAGUAGGUUAAAAAGGAAGUAACGGAGGCUGGAGAGAGGACUCAGUGGUUAAGAACACUGGCUGCUCCUCUAGAGAACCUGGGUUCAAUUCCCAGCAACCCCAUGUAGGUUCACUCUAGUUCCAGGGAAUUUGACGUCCUCUUCUGAACUCCACAGACACCAGGUAUACAUGGGGCACACAGCCAUGCAGGCAAAUAAAAACAUCCGUAGACAUAAAACAAAUGAAUGAAUGGAAAAAUAAAUAAAUAUUUAAGAAAAUAAACAAGACAGGAAAAUGGAGACGAAACAGAAUAUGAAAGAUACAAGUGAGAAAGGGGGACGGGGCACCUAAAAUCCUCCAGUGAAACUUGUUUUAGCUCUUUGGCCGUCUGACAACCCUCUGUUGGGGCUGAGAUGGCUUCUAAGGUGUGACUGGAACAGAGAAGGAUUUCUGGGGGUGCAUCUUUUCAACAGAGAGCAGUGGGGCCCUGGGCAUGGAGCCCGCUCCCAUGCCUGCCAUGGGUUCUGCUGCACCCCUUCGUGCCAAAGUUCAGACCUCAUUCGAUGGUGUAUUAAACUGCAUAGGUUGGGCAGUCCACAGCGGCCCGCACGCUGGAGAGGCUGGCAUUUCAAUAGUAUCCUACCCCUGGGGAUGUUUUAGCAGCCCCAGCCUGGUACUGAAGGCUGGGGAGAUUCUGAAGAGCUGAUGGUCUUCAGUCCCUGUUGGAAGAUGGAGAAGCAGUGUGAAUUCCAGUGCCUGCCAAGGAUGGCGGAAGUGGCUGCCGAGGCAACAACAGUAACAGAUCUGCACGGGCGGCGUAGGCCAGACCUGAAGUGACGCAAGCUAGCAACAAAGGGCUCCCCUCUCCGGUGAUUUCUUUGUAUCUGGGUCACGCAUUUGGCACCCCCGACUCUAGGGAACAGUCUUCUAAUCUCAGUCUUCCUGGAAACGUCACAGACCUCCUCAGAGACCCCCUCUUAGCUGAUUUAGAUGUCAUUGAGUUUUAUGAUCAUGAUCUGCCACCACAUCUAACUUUUAAUCUAGAUUCUGCCACUGGACAAACCAGUGGGCCACUGGACGAGUCAAUUUGGUCUUGAAGUCUAUUUUUUUUUUCAUUUACAAAUAUAAGCUUUCGAAAUACACACCCCCUGCCUCCCCCCCCCCCCCCCCCCCGCCUCCCUUGGGAACAUAUAGAAGUGACCAGGUUCUAUUGCCCUCCUCACCCAGCUCAGGUCGCCAGAGGCUGCCUAGGCUGCUCCUGCUUAGAUUACCAUGGUUCUGGGUUUACCGGAUUCACAGCAAGGCUGGGUUAUCUGGAGGGGGGGCUGCCCAAUACCAGCACAAGAAACGAACCUAUCAAAUGUUAAAGCAGCGACAAAGUCAUGCGACAUGGGCUCUGCUUACCGCUAACUCAAAAUAGUGUAAUGAGGAAAUGUUCUUCGGGACUGGAGAGAUGGCUCAGUGGUGCAGAACACUGGCUUCUCUUUCACGGAGGACUUGUAUCUUGUUCCCAGCAUGCACGUGGUUGCUCAUAACCACACCUGACUUGAGUUCCAGGGGAUUGGACAGGCUCUUUUGGCUCUUUUGGCCCUUUUGGGCAUCAGGCAUGCGUGUGGAGCAUAUAUAUCCAUGCGAGCAAAACACUGAUACACACAAAAUAAAAAGAAAAAAAAUUUUAAAAGGAAAAAAAUCCCUUGGAGGAAAAUUGAGCGAUUUAACUAGUAUACACAAUAGUUGUAACUACUGUUAAAUUUGAAUGAUGCAUAUAUGACUAUGUAUAAAUGCGUCGAAUCAGCACUUUUUACUGUAAAUCUUUUGAAAAAUAUACUUUUAAUCGACGUUCAUACAAACGGUGCCUGCUUGUGUAGAAAUCAGCUUCCAUUUGCAAAGUCUUCAUGGUGGUUUGGAGGCGUUAGAGCUCACACUGCCCACUUUCUGUGUAUACUGUGUUACAGCAGUGGAUUUUAAACAAUAAAAUUUUAAACAAAGAGACAGAA